AGAGUUUGAUCCUGGCUCAGGAUGAACGCUAGCUACAGGCUUAACACAUGCAAGUCGAGGGGAAACGACAUCGAAAGCUUGCUUUUCGAUGGUCGUCGACCGGCGCACGGGUGAGUAACGCGUAUCCAACCUGCCCAUCACUUGGGGAUAACCUUGCGAAAGUAAGACUAAUACCCAAUGAUAUCUCUAGAAGACAUCUGAAAGAGAUUAAAGAUUUAUCGGUGAUGGAUGGGGAUGCGUCUGAUUAGCUUGUUGGCGGGGUAACGGCCCACCAAGGCAACGAUCAGUAGGGGUUCUGAGAGGAAGGUCCCCCCACAUUGGAACUGAGACACGGUCCAAACUCCUACGGGAGGAGCA
rnacentral:rRNA from 1 species